rnacentral:rRNA from 1 species
AGUGGGGGAUAACGUAGCGAAAGUUACGCUAAUACCGCAUAUGCCCUGAGGGGGAAAGGUGGGGAUCGUAAGACCUAUCGCUUUCGGAGUGGCCGAUAUCAGAUUAGCUAGUUGGUGGGGUAAAGGCCUACCAAGGCGACGAUCUGUAGCUGGUCUGAGAGGACGACCAGCCACACUGGGACUGAGACACGGCCCAGACUCCUACGGGAGGCAGCAGUGGGGAAUUUUGGACAAUGGGCGCAAGCCUGAUCCAGCCAUGCCGCGUGAGUGAAGAAGGCCUUCGGGUUGUAAAGCUCUUUCAGCCGGAAAGAAAUCGUGCAGGCUAAUAUCCUGCAUGGAUGACGGUACCGGAAGAAGAAGCACCGGCUAACUACGUGCCAGCAGCCGCGGUAAUACGUAGGGUGCGAGCGUUAAUCGGAAUUACUGGGCGUAAAGCGUGCGCAGGCGGUUUUGUAAGACAGACGUGAAAUCCCCGGGCUUAACCUGGGAACUGCGUUUGUGACUGCAAGGCUAGAGUGCGGCAGAGGGGGGUAGAAUUCCA